rnacentral:rRNA from 1 species
UACGGGGGGAGCAAGCGUUGUUCGGAUUUACUGGGCGUAAAGGGCGCGUAGGCGGCCACCGCAAGUCGGUUGUGAAAUCUCCGGGCUUAACCCGGAAAGGUCAAUCGAUACUGCGGGGCUAGAGUGCAGAAGGGGCAACUGGAAUUCUUGGUGUAGCGGUGAAAUGCGUAGAUAUCGUAAGGAACGCCAGUGGCGAAAGCGAAUCUCUGGGCAGCAACUGACGCUGAGGCACGAAGGCCAGGGGAGCAAACGGGG